GAGUUUGAUCCUGGCUCAGGAUGAACGCUGGCGGCGUGCUUAACACAUGCAAGUCGAACGGGGCCACCAUUUUUGAAGCGAUUAGCUUGCUAAGAGUGGAAAUGUUGGCGGCUUAGUGGCGGACGGGUGAGUAACGCGUGGGUAACCUGCCUUGCACUGGGGGAUAACACUUAGAAAUAGGUGCUAAUACCGCAUAAGCGCACGGAGCUGCAUGGCUCAGUGUGAAAAACUCCGGUGGUGCAAGAUGGACCCGCGUCUGAUUAGCUUGUUGGCGGGGUAACGGCCCACCAAGGCGACGAUCAGUAGCCGGCCUGAGAGGGUGGACGGCCACAUUGGGACUGAGACACGGCCCAAACUCCUACGGGAGGCAGCAGUGGGGAAUAUUGGACAAUGGGGGGAACCCUGAUCCAGCGACGCCGCGUGAGUGAAGAAGUAUUUCGGUAUGUAAAGCUCUAUCAGCAGGGAAGAAAGAAAUGACGGUACCUGACCAAGAAGCCCCGGCUAACUACGUGCCAGCAGCCGCGGUAAUACGUAGGGGGCAAGCGUUAUCCGGAUUUACUGGGUGUAAAGGGAGCGUAGACGGUAAUGCAAGUCUGGAGUGAAAUGCAGGGGCUCAACCCCUGAACUGCUUUGGAAACUGUAUGACUGGAGUGCA
rnacentral:rRNA from 1 species